rnacentral:rRNA from 1 species
AUGGCGCUUAUUGAUCAUUGGAGGCCGGAGACACACAAUUUCCAUCUUCGGACCGGGGAGAUGACCAUGACGCUCCAGGAUAUUGCUAUGAUCACCGGCCUUCCUAUCGAUGGGAAUCCUCUAUGUAUGAACACCUAUUCUGAUGGGUGGCGCGCGCAGAUGCAUGCCCUUAUCGGUAUGGUUCCUCUGGAGCCUCGGGAACCAGAAGUAGAAGACAAGAAGAAGGAAAGAGUCGCAGACUAUGUUUGCUGA